rnacentral:lncRNA from 13 species
GUCCAAAGUAGUAUACUACGUUAAGACCAGAGACCUAUGGACCCUGGUCCAAAGUAGUGCACUACGUAAAGACCAGAGACAUAUGGACCCUGGUCCAAAGUAGUGCACUACAUAAAGACCAGAGACAUAUGGACCCUGGUCCAAAGUAGUGUACUACAUAAAGACCAGAGACCUAUGGACCCUGUUCCAAAGUAGUGUACUAAAUAAAGACCAGAGACCUAUGGACCCUGGUCCAAAUUAGAGCACUACGUAAAGACCAGAGACCUAUGGACCCUGGUCCAAAGUAGAGCACUACGUAAAGACCAAAGACCUAUGGACCCUGGUCCAAAGUAGAGCACUACGUAAAGACCAGAGACCUAUGGACCCUGGUCCAAAGCAGAGCACUACGUAAAGACCAGAGACGUAUGGACCCUGGUCCAAAGUAGAGCACUACGUAAAGACCAGAGACAUAUGGACCCUGGUCCAAAGUAGAGCACUACGUAAAGACCAGAGACCUAUGGACCCUGGUCCAAAGUAGAGCACUACGUAAAGACCAGAGACAUAUGGACCCUGGUCCAAAGUAGAGCACUACGUAAAGACCAGAGACCUAUGGACCCUGGUCCAAAGUAGAGCACUACGUAAAGACCAGAGACCUAUGGAUCCUGGUCCAAAGUAGUGCACUACGUAAAGACCAGAGACCUAUGGAUCCUGGUCCAAAGUAGUGCACUACGUAAAGACCAGAGACCUAUGGAUCCUGGUCCAAAGUAGUGCACUACGUAAAGACCAGAGACCUAUGGACCCUGGUCCAAAGUAGUGCACUACGUAAAGACCAGAGACGUGGACCCUGGUCCAAAGUAGUGUACUACAUAAAGACGAGAGACAUAUGGACCCUGGUCCAAAGUAGUGCACUACGUAAAGACCAGAGACCUAUGGACCCUGGUCCAAAGUAGUGCGCUACGUAAAGACCAGAGACCUAUGGACCCUGGUCCAAAGUAGUGUACUACAUAAAGACAAGAGACCUAUGGACCCUGGUCCAAAGUAGUGUACUACAUAAAGACCAGAGACCUAUUGACCCUAGGCCAAAGUAGUGCACUACGUAACGACCAGAGACCUAUGGACCCUGGUCUAAAGUAUAGCACUAUGUAAAGACCAGAGACAUAUGGACCCUGGUCCAAAGUAGAGCACUACGUAAAGACCAGAGACCUAUGGACCCUGGUCCAAAGUAGAGCACUACGUAAAGACCAGAGACCUAUGGAUCCUGGUCCAAAGUAGUGCACUAUGUAAAGACCAGAGACCUAUGGACCCUGGUCCAAAGUAGUGCACUACAUAAAGACCAGAGACCUAUGGACCCUGGUCCAAAGCAGUGCACUACGUAAAGACCAGAGACCUAUGGAUCCUGGUCCAAAGUAGUGCACUACGUAAAGACCAGAGACCUAUGGACCCUGGUCCAAAGUAGUGCACUACGUAAAGACCAGAGACCUAUGGAUCCUGGUCCAAAGUAGUGCACUACGUAAAGACCAGAG